UACGUAGGUGGCAAGCGUUUGUCCGGAUUUACUGGGCGUAAAGGGUGUGUAGGCGGUCUUCUAAGUUUGGUGUGAAAUCUCCCGGCUCAACUGGGAGGGUGCGCCGAAAACUGGGAAACUAGAGUGCGGGAUGGGAGAGUGGAAUUCCUGGUGUAGCGGUGAAAUGCGUAGAUAUCAGGAGGAACACCUGUGGUGUAGACGGCUCUCUGGACCGCAACUGACGCUGAGACACGAAAAGCGUGGGUAGCAAACAGG
rnacentral:rRNA from 1 species